GUCAGCGGCGGACGGGUGAGUAACACGUGGGCAACCUGCCUGUGAGACUGGGAUAACUUCGGGAAACCGGAGCUAAUACCGGAUAAUAUAAGGAACCUCCUGGUUCUUUAUUGAAAGAUGGUUUCGGCUAUCACUCACAGAUGGGCCCGCGGCGCAUUAGCUAGUUGGUGAGGUAACGGCUCACCAAGGCGACGAUGCGUAGCCGACCUGAGAGGGUGAUCGGCCACACUGGGACUGAGACACGGCCCAGACUCCUACGGGAGGCAGCAGUAGGGAAUCUUCCACAAUGGACGAAAGUCUGAUGGAGCAACGCCGCGUGAGCGAUGAAGGCCUUCGGGUCGUAAAGCUCUGUUGUUAGGGAAGAACAAGUGCGAGAGUAACUGCUCGCACCUUGACGGUACCUAACCAGAAAGCCACGGCUAACUACGUGCCAGCAGCCGCGGUAAUACGUAGGUGGCAAGCGUUGUCCGGAAUUAUUGGGCGUAAAGCGCGCGCAGGUGGUCCUUUAAGUCUGAUGUGAAAGCCCACGGCUCAACCGUGGAGGGUCAUUGGAAACUGGGGGACUUG
rnacentral:rRNA from 1 species